UACGAAGGGGGCUAGCGUUGUUCGGAAUUACUGGGCGUAAAGCGCGUGUAGGCGGGUCUUUAAGUCAGGGGGGAAAUGCCAAGGCUCAACCUUGGAACUGCCUUUGAUACUGGAGACCUUGAGUCCGGGAGAGGUGAGUGGAAUUGCGAGUGUAGAGGUGAAAUUCGUAGAUAUUCGCAAGAACACCAGUGGCGAAGGCGGCUCACUGGCCCGGAACUGACGCUGAGACGCGAAAGCGUGGGUAGCAAACAGG
rnacentral:rRNA from 1 species